GCGGCGUGCUCGUAUAAAGAGUCUCCCGGCAGAAAACGAACCGCCGCGCCGGUUAAUCGUGUGCUUGCCCCGUCUCUACAUACUCUACAGAUGAGUAAGAAAGAGACAGUGAAAACGGACGCACACACCAGUACAUACAGGGUGUCUCACACUUUCUCAGUGUGUUUAAACUGCAGCAACAUGUCGUACAAGUAGAAAUAAGGGGGAGAUGCCGCGUAACGAAAAGUCCAUAAAUGCUUCAUUGGGAAUUCAACACCACGUGGACAUUGCAAUAAAUAUUUUCCAUCUUCUAAGUAAUGCAGAGUCACUAAGGACGUGUGAAAAGCAAAACGACAACUCCAUACGUCAGACGAAAGAAAUAUCGAGAAACUAACUUCUAAAAGCUAAAUCGUAAGAACAGCAUUGUAUGGAAGCAAUGAUGAUUUACAGAAAGAAUUUCUA
rnacentral:misc_RNA from 1 species